UACGGAGGGUGCAAGCAUUGAUCGGAAUUACUGGGCGUAAAGGGCGCGUAGGCGGUUAUGAAAGUCAGAUGUGGAAUUCCGGGACUCAAUUUCGGAGCUGCAUUUGAAACUAUAAAUCUCGAGGAUUGGCGGAGAGAACGGAAUUCCACGUGUAGCGGUGAAAUGCGUAGAUAUGUGGAAGAACACCGGUGGCGAAAGCGGUUCUCUAGCUUAUACCUGACGCUGAGGCGCGAGAGCAAGGGGAGCAAACAGG
rnacentral:rRNA from 1 species